rnacentral:tRNA from 1 species
ACGCUCUAACCUUUAAGCUAUAGACUCAAUGUGAGUCUAGAUUGAUUUGAACAAUCAACCUUACGCUUAUCAA